GAUGAGUGCUAGGUGUUAGGGGGCUUCCACCCCUUAGUGCUGAAGUUAACGCAUUAAGCACUCCGCCUGGGGAGUACGGCCGCAAGGCUGAAACUCAAAAGAAUUGACGGGGGCCCGCACAAGCGGUGGAGCAUGUGGUUUAAUUUGAAGCAACGCGAAGAACCUUACCAGGUCUUGACAUCCUUGGACAUCCGUAGAGAUAGGGAGUUCCCUUCGGGGACCAAGUGACAGGUGGUGCAUGGUUGUCGUCAGCUCGUGUCGUGAGAUGUUGGGUUAAGUCCCGCAACGAGCGCAACCCUUGAUCUUAGUUGCCAGCAUUCAGUUGGGCACUCUAAGGUGACUGCCGGUGACAAACCGGAGGAAGGCGGGGAUGACGUCAAAUCAUCAUGCCCCUUAUGACCUGGGCUACACACGUGCUACAAUGGAUGGUACAAAGGGAAGCGAAGCCGCGAGGUCAAGCAAAUCCCAUAAAACCAUUCUCAGUUCGGAUUGCAGGCUGCAACUCGCCUGCAUGAAGCCGGAAUCGCUAGUAAUCGCGGAUCAGCAUGCCGCGGUGAAUACGUUCCCGGGCCUUGUA
rnacentral:rRNA from 1 species